rnacentral:lncRNA from 1 species
CUGAGAGGCUGAGUCUGAGGCUGGCACGACUCAUCGAUCCCUGAGGACUUUCGGAAGCCCACACUAACAGGCCGCCCUGGAUGUCUUAGGAACAAGGACCAAUGGUGAUGAAGAUGCGGGUAUAACGUAAGGAAGAACCGUUGAAAAACUCCUCUGUCUUGGAGCGCAGUCCGCUGCCUCUAAAGCACGCCAUCCUGCCCCUGGCCGGGGGGCCCUGCCGAUGUCAGAGGCUGGAGAGGACACCUCACUCACAGAGCCCAUUAGACCAGACAUGCUUUUGCCCCUUCUAGCUUUGGGACUUCUGGCUUGACAAUUUAGGAGAAGACAAAUACUGAGCAAAGAUAACCAACGUAAGAGGAUAUCUUUGAGAUUUUUGCUACCCACAAAUGAUAUAAAUCCCCCACUCUCCAAAUUUAAACUUUGCUUUGCUGCUCAAGAUAGAAACAAUCUGUGAAUAAGAUUUUGUGACAAAAUGAGCUUUCUACUUCCUAAGCAUAUUUGAGCCCUGACCCCCAAUCCAUGAGCUGCUCAUCAUUGUCUGCCUUCUCAUUACUCCGUGGAGGAGUCAGAAUUAGUUGUGGGGAAGUAACCCUUUCUGGCCCAUUUUCAAUUAUCAUAAGAUUUAGCAGGCUUGCGGGGGGACCUUGCUCAUCUUUGCUACCCUGCGACCUCCUCAAUUCGUCUCUUUUAUCUCUGUCUGGAUGGCCCACAUCCCAGCAUGCCACACUGCACUGGCUAAAUAAACCCGUAAAUCUAGCUUUUGUGUCCUGCUAAUCCUUUUAUUUCCUAAAUCUUAUUUAAUCCGAAAGGCUUCCUUUCAUCUCUUUAACUGUCCACAGCGUCACCCUCUCAUCCUGUCAGCAGUGCUUGCAAACCCCGGGUAGAGCUGAAGGCUCCCGGGAGCAGACCCCAGGCCGAGCCCGCAGCACCUGCCGGGGGCCUGCGGGAGGCUCGGGCGGCGCCUGCGCGGGGAGGCCCGGGUGUGGCUCUGCGCCGCCGGACCGCGCCCUCCCCUCCUCGGAGACAGGGAGGCUGCGAUCUGACCUCGGAAGCCUGCCGCCACAGGCCAACGACAGAGCUAAACUGGGCUCAGAGAAAAACGGAAGGGCAGAUUCACACUAAAUGAGUUUUACUUUUGUCUGUCUUAGAGGAAGAUAAGUUUUGGGUCUGAGGAAAAAGAAUCGUAAUUAACACAACGACAUGAGUUAAAGGGAGCUGACAGGCCCUGAAGAAGCCCCCCGUUGCUGUCACACUGGAGCCCAGCUGAAGACAUUCCGUCUGUAAGUACCAGGCAGGCUCUAGGGUGCUGGAUGGAGCAGAAUGGAGCAGCCAGUUUACAGAGGAGACGAGCAAAGCAGUCAACAAACCAAAACCGAACCCAGCCUGAGGCAAGUUAAGCCGUUGGAACUGCUUUCCUGGUAGAUCUCACCUGUGUGCAGAGGGGCCCCAGGGUGGCCCAGGGUGGCCCAAGCUGGAACCGAGGAAGGCCAUCCUGGAAGAGUCAGCCUCAGAGGGAAAGUGGAUCUGCGCUCAGAAGAGCCACACUUAGAAGGAACGCCUCCAGGGAACAAGAACAGAAAGCAGAGAAUCCAAAUCAGUCACGGGUUCUCCUUGUUGGCAAAUCUGGAAAGGUGAGCUGAGAUGCAGGAAUUGACCCACGGGAGUUCAGUGAUGUGAUGGAGGGAGUGAAUAUGCAGCAAAAUGAAAACUUCUAAAACCCACGAACUCAUGAAUGCAACACAUCAAAAAAAGUCCUCUUUCUCUCUUGAGGCAGAUUUUAUAAGGCAGACUUUCUGGGGGAGUCCCAAUUAUAGGUACUUUCAUUCUUUUCCAAAAGGCUAUUUAAAAUGUGUAAGUAUAUAGAUUUAUUUGUAUUCCUUUAUUAAGGCUUACAAAAAAUAAAUUCCUAAGUCAAAAGUGACUUCUUUUCUUUAAAGCGUGUUUUCGAUUUCUUUGUCAGGCUGUAGUUUUGGUUUGUAAAACACAGUCACCAUAGCCACAUUCUUCUCAAAAAGGGUAGGUGGUUGUGGCUUUGGA